rnacentral:rRNA from 1 species
GAUGAACGCUAGCGGGAGGCUUAACACAUGCAAGCCGAGGGGUAUAUAAUUGCUUGCAAUUAUAGAGACCGGCGGAUGGGUGAGUAACGCGUAUGAAACCUGCCCUAUUCAUCAGGAUAGCCCUAGGAAACUGGGAUUAAUACUGAAUAACACUAAUAUCGGCAUCGAUGUUGGUUAAAAGAUUUAUCGGAAUAGGAUGGUCAUGCGUCAGAUUAGUUAGUUGGUAGGGUAACGGCCCACCAAGGCAAUGAUCUGUAGGGGGCCUGAGAGGGUGAUCCCCCACACUGGUACUGAGACACGGACCAGACUCCUACGGGAGGCAGCAGUGAGGAAUAUUGGACAAUGGGUGAGAGCCUGAUCCAGCCAUCCCGCGUGCAGGAAGAAUGCCUUAUGGGUUGUAAACUGCUUUUAUACAGGAAUAAACCACUUUACGUGUAAGGUGUUGAAGGUACUGUAUGAAUAAGCAUCGGCUAACUCCGUGCCAGCAGCCGCGGUAAUACGGAGGAUGCAAGCGUUAUCCGGAUUUAUUGGGUUUAAAGGGUCCGUAGGCGGGCAUAUAAGUCAGAGGUGAAAUCCGACAGCUUAACUGUCGAACUGCCUUUGAAACUGUAUGUCUUGAGUGAGAUUGAAGCAGCUGGAAUGUGUAGUGUAGCGGUGAAAUGCAUAGAUAUUACACAGAACACCGAUAGCGUAGGCAGGUUGCUAAGUCUUUACUGACGCUGAUGGACGAAAGCGUGGGGAGCAAACAGGAUUAGAUACCCUGGUAGUCCACGCCGUAAACGUUGGAUACUGUCUAUUGGAAUUUUCAGUGGAUAAGCGAAAGUGAUAAGUAUCCCACCUGGGGAGUACGUUCGCAAGAAUGAAACUCAAAGGAAUUGACGGGGGCCCGCACAAGCGGUGGAGCAUGUGGUUUAAUUCGAUGAUACGCGAGGAACCUUACCAAGGCUUAAAUGCAUAAUGCUCGAUUUGGAAAC